GACGAACGCUGGCGGCGUGCUUAACACAUGCAAGUUGAACGGUAAGGCCCUUCGGGGUACACGAGUGGCGAACGGGUGAAUAACACGUGGGUGAUCUGCCCUGCACUUUGGGAUAAGCCUGGGAAACUGGGUCUAAUACCGGAUAGGACCAUGCGCUGCACGGUGUGUGGUGGAAAGCUUUUGCGGUGUGGGAUGGGCCCGCGGCCUAUCAGCUUGUUGGUGGGGUAAUGGCCUACCAAGGCGACGACGGGUAGCCGGCCUGAGAGGGUGACCGGCCACACUGGGACUGAGAUACGGCCCAGACUCCUACGGAAGGCAGCAGUGGGGAAUAUUGCACAAUGGGCGCAAGCCUGACGCAGCGACGCCGCGUGAGGGAUGACGGCCUUCGGGUUGUAAACCUCUUUCAGUAGGGACGAAGCGCAAGUGACGGUACCUACAGAAGAAGGACCGGCCAACUACGUGCCAGCCGCCGCCGUAA
rnacentral:rRNA from 1 species